rnacentral:rRNA from 1 species
ACUGGCGAACGGGUGAGUAACGCGUAGGCACCUGCCCUAUAGAUUGGGAUAACAUUGGGAAACUGAUGCUAAUACCGGGUGAUUCCUUCGGGAUAAAGCGGGCUUCGGCUCGCGCUUUAGGAUGGGCCUGCGUCCGAUUAGCUUGUUGGUAAGGUAAUGGCUUACCAAGGCUGUGAUCGGUAGUUGGUCUGAGAGGAUGAUCAGCCACACUGGGAUUGAGAUACGGCCCAGACUCCUACGGGAGGCAGCAGUAGGGAAUUUUGCGCAAUGGGGGAAACCCUGACGCAGCAACGCCGCGUGACCGAUGAAGCAUUUAGGUGCGUAAAGGUCUGUCGUAAGGGAAGAAAAGUUCGGAUGUAAAUAAUAUUCGAAUCUGACGGUACCUUACAAGAAAGCACCGGCUAACUUCGUGCCAGCAGCCGCGGUAAUACGAGGGGUGCAAGCGUUGUCCGGAAUCAUUGGGCGUAAAGGGUCCGUAGGCGUUUCAAUAAGUCAUUUGUGAAAGACACCGGCUCAACCGGUGGCCCGCAUUCGAAACUGUUGAAAUAGAGUAUAGGAGAGGAAAGUGGAAUUCCUGGUGUAGCGGUGACAUGCGUAGAUAUCAUGAGGACACCAAGGGCGACGCGGCUUUCUGGCCUAUUACUGACGCUGACGACGAAGCGUGGGGAAGCGACAGAUUAGAAAUCCUGGGACA